AUGAACGCUGGCGGCGUGCCUAAUACAUGCAAGUCGAGCGAACAGACGAGGAGCUUGCUCCUCUGACGUUAGCGGCGGACGGGUGAGUAACACGUGGAUAACCUACCUAUAAGACUGGGAUAACUUCGGGAAACCGGAGCUAAUACCGGAUAAUAUAUUGAACCGCAUGGUUCAAUAGUGAAAGACGGUUUUGCUGUCACUUAUAGUUGGAUCCGCGCCGCAUUAGCUAGUUGGUAAGGUAACGGCUUACCAAGGCAACGAUGCGUAGCCGACCUGAGAGGGUGAUCGGCCACACUGGAACUGAGACACGGUCCAGACUCCUACGGGAGGCAGCAGUAGGGAAUCUUCCGCAAUGGGCGAAAGCCUGACGGAGCAACGCCGCGUGAGUGAUGAAGGUCUUCGGAUCGUAAAACUCUGUUAUUAGGGAAGAACAAAUGUGUAAGUAACUAUGCACGUCUUGACGGUACCUAAUCAGAAAGCCACGGCUAACUACGUG
rnacentral:rRNA from 1 species